UCGCCCUUCAACAGUCCUGCAACAUGCAAAAUGAUGUCAUUGUCACCGCCAGCCAUCUGGCGGCAACCACUACAAUCUUGGAGAAGCCCUCCUAGCCCUCUCUUCCUCCACCCCUCUACUUCCUGCCCUGGCACCAGCCUGGCUCACAGCACACCACCCACUUCCCAAAACAAUCAGCAAGACACAGGCUGACCUGACAUCUGGCACACAGAACUACAAACAACUUUCUCCAUACUCCUGUACUGCUAUGUCACUAGGGUGUCCUGCCUCUUGCUUUCAGUAUACAAGUGUCCAAUCCUUGAAAUUCCAGGGAAACACAGGCAUUUUGACACAAUAUGUAUAAUUGUACUUAUUAAUAGUUGUGUCACAACUGGAUCCCUUGCAUUUCAAAUAUUAGAUGUUUGAAUAUCAGCAUUGGCUAAGAGAUUGGUGUCGGAAUACACCAGUCUGUCCAUCCAGGAGCAGUCACAGGCACCAACAAUAAUCAUAUCAAACUUUCCAUGGGAAGAGGAGAUUGGGAGAUGUCAUGAGCGCGGCACCCAGGAUGAGCGCGGCACCCCGGAUGAGCGCGGUCAGGUGAUGGAUUGUUUGUGAAGCUGCCUGUCAAGUGUUCGUGCUCUCUCUCUGUCACCGAGUGUGUGAAAGAGACAUGAUUUCAUUUCUCAGCGUAAUCUGACUGGUGUUUUUCCUCAGAGCUUAACAAUAGCUUCUUUGGUGAUCCAAUAGAAAGAGAAUCAUCCUGGGGGCACUCUUUGGCACCCUUACAAAACCACACCUCAAUCACUUCUCUCCCACUCUAUCUGUAUCACUAGGGAUGCAUGAGGUGGGUAGAGCUAUAGAUGUCUCCCUUGAGUAGAGUCUACUGAGUGUGUAGGGCAGCGAAACAUCGCUGGGAUUUGUGCCUGUUUAUAUUUUGUUUACCCCAGGCCACAUAGCUGACAAACAUGAAGGUUACCUCUACCUUUUGGUGGAGGUUUGACAAUUGUCUCUCCAGGCUACACACUUCCCAGAACAGAACCCUUCCUAACCUACCCCCACAUGUCAAAGAACUUGAUUCCUUUUCAUGCCAAUUCUUGCUUCUGCUUCUCACCAUUCUGAGUUGUCAUAACAGUUGCCCAGGGCAGUAGGAUAUCUGCAGGUUUAACUUCGAGCUCAGACGAGAAGGCCCUGGAGAAAGGAUGAGCUGAGCUUACCGGUCUUCCCCCACACCUGAGCUCCAUAGGGACAUGCAGGGUCCUAGACGCCAGGUUUGGAUACAUGCGCUCUGGAUUGGGCUGGAGAUGUUCAAAACUUUGUGUGUGGCCCCAACAGAGACACUGUUGCCUGAUCCCAACCUUGGUACCCUUGGGGCCUCGAAAAACUAGUUUCCUGGAACCAGAGAAGAUUUUGAGCUGGAUCAGUCUCCCUCUCCUGGCUAGACACCAUGGCAGCAGGGUUAUUGUUAGGCAGAAGAAUGCUCCCACAGUACAAAAUGACAACCCCAUACCUUUGCUUGAUGC